GUCACUGAAAGCCAAGCCCAUAAGUGGUACAGGCAGGCCUUGACCGACAACGGUUGUUGAGCCAAAGAAGAAGAAGAAACCUUCCAGAAAAUGCUAGAACGCUGCUUCGUACAAAGAGGACUCCGGCGGAAAUAACAAAGAUUGAUGGAGGUCAAUUUUGGUAUAAUGGAAUCCAAAAAUGUCUUUCAUCCUUCUUUUGUAAACAGGGACCACCAUUCGAAACACUGUCGCUCAAUUUAUUUGUGGAUGGUUUACCUCUUUACAAAAGUAGCAGUCUCCAGUUUUGGCCGAUUCUCUUCAAUAUACAUGAAAUGCCCAAUGUUCGUCCAAUGAUUGCUGGGAUUUUUUGCGGCAAUACCAAGCCGGGAAAUGCGGAUGAAUAUUUGAAGAAAUUGGUUGAAGAAUUAAAGAUAAUAUUGGUGAAAGGAACAACCAUCAAUGGUGUAACCAUUGCAAUCAAACUUCGAGCAGUUAUAGCUGAUUCUCCAGCUAGAUGUUUUCUAAAAGGAGUGACAAAUUUCAAUGGAUAUAAUAGUUGCUUGAAAUGCACAUGCCACGGAGAAUACAACCAUGAUUCACAUACUGAUAUUUUUAAAGGGGUGAAUCAUAAAAUGCGCACAGAUAAGAAUUUCCGAGCUAAAGCAUAUAGACAACAUCAGAAGAAAUGUAGCCCAUUGCUUGAAAUUCCAUUUUUGAAUAUGAUUCGAGACAUAAUUGUAUCAGAUAGGUUACACCUGAUAGAUUUGGGAGUGCAGCGAAGAUUGCUUCUAGGUUGGAGGGAUGGUACACUAGGAUUGCAUGCAAAAUUAUCAGCUUCUGCCAUCAGUGAAAUUUCGGAAUUUUUGCAACGCAUCAAACUUCCAUCAGAAAUACACAGACCAUUUAGAGGUCUGAACGUACUAAAAUAUUGGAAAGCAACAGAAUUUAGUUCAUUCUUGCAUUAUGCCGGAAUAGUAGUGCUUAAAGAUGUUUUACCGGAUUAUGUAUAUAACCACUUCUUGCUACUGUUUUGCUCUAUUACAAUGCUAUCAACAAACGUGUAUAAAAAUAAUUGGCAUGUUGCAAACGAAAUGUUAAAAGAAUUCGUUGUCCAGUACAGUAAUGUUUAUGGAGACAAAUUUCUCACAAGUAAUGUGCACAAUCUUUUACAUGUGUACGAUGAAGUGUUUUUUUUUCGGACCGUUAAUUACUUUGUCAACUUACCCGUUUGAAAAUUUGUUACAAGUUCUGAAAAACCUACUACGUGGUCGACGACAAGAGCUUCAACAAAUUAUAAACAGAUUAUCGGAGCUGGAAAAUUUUUAUCAGUACAAAGGAGAAACACAUAACACUAAUAGCAUAGAUUUUAAAAUGCAAGACAACGAUCGCGAUGGUUGGGUAUUGACGAAACAGAAAAAAAAUGUCCGGUUCAUUAAAUUAGAUUCUAAUUCUUCCUCUUUACAUAGCUUUCAUGGCAGAGAAGUCCUGAAGCAAUGGGAUUAUUUUGAAUACCCUAUCAAAUCAUCUGCUUUAAAUAUUUAUGCUGGGAAAUUAUCAACUUUGUCAGGGGCGGAAACUACGUUCAAUUUUCACGAUAUCAAAUGCAAGUUAGUUGCAGUACAAACCAGGACACCCGAUCUUUAUGUUUUUAUUCCUUUAAUUCAUACAUUGAAAUAAUAUUUCAAUUUCACAUAUUUUAUUGUUAUACAACAAAACAAUGAAUUCAAACAGAUUCGAACUUGUGCUGUGUACUUUUUCGCAAUCCCUUCGAAUAAGCUCGUUUUGUUGCAUUUUUGAGCUUUUUCAUAAAAAAAACGAGCCAAAACUUUAUCGGUGACCACAGCCUCUUCUGUGCUGCCAUGAAGUCUAAAUAAUUCAAGAAUAUUUUUAUGUGUCAUCAUAGGAACUUUUUCUUUUCCCUUACCUAUGCCGGUCCAACUACAGAGGGUCAAAAAUUUUUUUGAAAAAAUUAGGUCCAAAAUUUCUAUCAUCCUAUUUUCGGGGGUGAUUUCCCAUAUGUUAUGUUCUAACCAUGACGAAAAUUCAUUGAAAUAAUCUGGUUGGGAAAGUUUGAUUCUAAAAUUGACAGCUCUUCUAUGCUACUGACCACUUGAAAUCCUAUGUCAUUUCUCUUGCGACGCAUGGAUACCGGAAUAACUGUUUUAUCUAGAAGAAUAUCUAAUUUCGCCAAAACUGUAGAAUUAGAAGUAGAAAUUAGAAAGAGCAAUAAUUUUUCCAAUCGUUCGUCAAUACUGUAGGGAUCGAGAGCAGCAAGGAAAAUAAAUAUAUAUCAUAGAUUCGAAUAAGGCAAGUAACAAUCAUUGAAUGAUGAUCAGAUAAUCAGAUAAGAACAUACAAAUAUAAGUUUAUUAAGUAGAAACAUGAAAACAGUUAAGAUAGAAUAGCGAUUAACGAAAAGUAUCGGCGCAUUCAAAAUAAAAAUCAGGCUAAUCGCAGAGAGAGUGAGAUAGCGAGAGGCGAUACAUCCGUUCGUAUGGAAGUGUCAAAAUAGGAGGCUUUUCGAGGAGAGGAGGAGAAUCGUCAGUCUUGUGAUUGAUCUUAGCAAGAAUGGACGCGACUAUUCGAUUGGACGGAAUAAAUGUUGUUAUUAGUAAGGGGAUAUUUCGGAAAUCACCUCAAAUACUAGGAGAAAGUUCAGGUGUGGUAAUCACUGUUUUGUCUGCAAGAAUAUUUAAU